ensembl:lncRNA
GGCUCUGUGCACAGUCACAGUGCACUAGUCUCAAAGCCGGGGGCACAUGUGUCCAGUUCGGAAGAGAGUUCGUUUUGAUACAAACUAGUUUGUAGCUCGUUGUCCACUUUACUACGGUUGGAAAGAGGCGUAGUUCGUGUUUAAACAACGUUUCGCUUCUGACUUCUUGAUUUGGGAACGUCUAAUCUGUGAAUAUAUCGUUCCAACACCAGAGAGUUCAAGCUCCUCGAAGACACAUCCCAGCCACGUGGUCAAUCUGCUGAGACGGCGUUUAUUGUUAAAAAAUAGGUACACCUUGAUCGUGUACACUGUUCUACAAGAUGAAUUGGAUAUCUGCAUAUUUUGGAAGAGCCUAUAAUACGGACGGGCCGAAGAAGAGGCUCCUGUCUUCAAAGUUGAGUGGUUGCUCUCAACCAGAAUGUAUAACCACGUGCCAAAAGCAUUUGAGGUAACGUUACUUUUUCUAGUUGGUUUAGCAUAUUGACAUGAACUUCCUUUCACGAGUAUUUGUUUUAAUCUUUUACUGUUGAUCGUCAAUAUAUCCAUUGACUAUGAAAACUCCUGUUUGUUUGUCGAACUGCUAACGUUAACUGAAGUCAUUGGCUCCUCGGAGGCAGGCCAGCCGUAUGCUAACAUUACCACUACGAUUAACAACGCAGAUAGUUUUGAUUUAUGUUUUGUUUGGGGUUGUCUUGAGGAUGAAUCUAUCCCGAACCUGAUUUCAUGUGAAUGAAAUUCUAUCGGAUCUGACUUCUGAAACGCAACCUAUGGUUCUUAGCAUAUCUCAGUAUGCUUUACAAGUCUAGUUUUAGUCUGCAGUCCUUUGCUAACUUCAUAGCUAACAUUAUGUAUUUUUAAACUCUGCAAGAGUUUAACUUAAAUAUGUUUUCCCCUCAGGAAGAAACGUCCAGAGAGACUCGUCCAUGAACGCGACAAUGCUGGUUCUGGUACUGUGCCAUAAUUAGAAGAAACGUCCAGAGAGACUCAACCAAGGACGCGACAAUGCUGUUUCUGGUACUGUGCCAUAAUGAAAAGAAACGUCCAGAGAGACUCGUCCAUGGACGCGACAAUGCUGGUUCUGGUACUGUGCCAUAAUGAGAAGAAACGUCCAGAGAGACUCGUCCAUGGACGCGACAAUGCUGGUUCUGGUACUGUGCCAUAAUGAGUAAGUACUGGGCUUGAUGUUUUGGGCUCUCUUGCACCAGAUUCAUGUUGUAGCCAUCGAUGAUGGCAAACCCCUUGUAAUGUUGUAGGGGAAAGGCUGG